rnacentral:rRNA from 1 species
CAGUCGCCGCGGUAAAACGUAGGGCGCAAGCGUUGUCCGGAAUUAUUGGGCGUAAAGAGCUCGUAGGCGGUCUGUCGCGUCUGGUGUGAAAUCCCGAGGCUCAACCUCGGGCUUGCAUCGGGUACGGGCAGACUAGAGUGCGGUAGGGGAGACUGGAAUUCCUGGUGUAGCGGUGGAAUGCGCAGAUAUCAGGAGGAACACCGAUGGCGAAGGCAGGUCUCUGGGCCGCAACUGACGCUGAGGAGCGAAAGCAUGGGGAGCGAACAGGAUUAGAUACCCGAGUAGUCCCUGACUCUUAUAC